UCCGACCCAUUUUCCAAUCAUAACAGAAAAAUCGUAUUCUUUGGAAAAUUGUCUUUGUUUUUGUCUGGGAAAUUUAUGUUUGUAUCGCGCUUCUGGUCAAAAACCAAAGUUUAUUUUAUAUGGGACUAUAUAUUUACGCAUAGGAACUGAAUCUGAGAAUGGGAACGGCUCCAACUCUAGCGUGAUUUCGGUGGAAAAGGUAUAAUACUGAUAGCUUAGGCAUAACCAUGUAGCUUUGCAAUGUAUCGGGCAUGAUCGAACAAUUAUUAUAAGAUCAUAUUUAGAGUUAAGAUUUGAAUAAAAAGAAGUAUAUUUCUUGAUGAUAUUUACAAGUGUUAGUGUGCACUAACUUUUUAUUUUUUUGAUGAAGUGUGCACUAAUUUAAAUGAAUGAUUUUCUUGUAAUAUCUUAAACUUUAAAAUUAACUCUAGAUUUCAUAUUUAAUGAAACAAAAGAAAAGUCGCAAUGAGAUUAACAAGCUAAAAAGUCAUCAUUUUCAUAAAAAAAACUGCUGUACAUUAUUUUAAUAUAUAAGUGGCGGAGGCAAGUGUAGUGGAGGGGGUCAACUGACCCCAACAAAAUUUAAUUACCCUUUAUGUUUUUUAAGAAAUUAUAACAUUAACUCCACUGAAGAUUUGACAUUGACCCCUAUAAAUUUGACUUAAACUCAUGAUUUACUUAAAAAAAAAAUAGAAAAUCCAUAUUCUUAUAGCUACAAAGAUUUGAUCUUUUAGAUUGAAUCCAAAUACAUAAUACAAUAUAAUAAUUUAGACAAUGUAAAGUUUUCUAAAAUUUGGGCUUAUAAUUUGUUUUUUAAAGUGCAUUUCAGUAUUCUUUUUUGUUUUGUAUAAUUUUGACCCCAAUAAAAGUUCGUCCUAGCUCCGCCACUAUAUAUAGUGACUUCUCUUUUUAAUGUGUAGCCUGUAGGAACGAUGAAAUCAAACACACCCAUAGAUCUAUUUUCCAUAACACACAUACACAAGAUCUGAACGAUAAGAACAUUUGAUUGGAGAUGAAGUCUAAGUUGACAUGUCGAAUAAGUUUAUUUCAACCACCUCAACGAAUAUAUACGGCCUUCAAGAAUACGUAACCGUCUCAAAGCCACUGUUUCAAAUUAAACGUAGAUGUUAAUGUAUAAUGUAAGAUAUUGAGAUUCUUUUGGGCAAACGGAAUUUUAUAUCAAUAUCGAUAUGUUGCCAGGAUAUGAGAACCAUGUGAUGAACGAUAAUACGUGAUUGCUUUUCUUCAACUUGGUGACAGAGAAAAAAAAAAGUUUAAAGGAGAAAAAAAAGCUGUUCAACCAAACGAACGAACUUGCAAACGAGUAAAGACCAGAUCUAUGGCUGCAAAUGGAUGACAUAUAGAUGAAUGGUUGAAAAUUUUUGAAUUGAACAAAAAAAA
rnacentral:lncRNA from 1 species